CUCCCCCUCUCCCCGGCCGCCGCCGAGCAGCUCCCCAGUCCCCGCGUCCGCCGCCGGCGGAAGCCAGCGAGCCGAGCGGCGGGAGGUUUACUUUGCCUAUUUCCCCACAUGAUGGAACGCAUCUUUUCUUGACCAGCAUGGAUAUGUAGACCUUUUCAAGAUGGUUAAGAACUGUGGUGAAGAACCAAGUGGAGAGACGAGUGAGGAAACUUAUUUCUGACUAAUUCUGCUGCCGUUAUGUUACUUCUUUAUCCAAUGAGGGGCAUCCACUUCUGCUGACGUCUGAUUUGUAUGUUUGAAACGAUGGUUUCCUGACAGAAGAGUGUGUUACAUUUUUUUACAGCAGAUCUUUGUUAAAUGCACCAUCAGUGGUGGUUUUGGAAAGACGAGAAUGGACCUGCUGCGGGGCAGCUCAGUGAAGCUGAAAAUGUCUGCUAUUUCUGUUAUGUGUAUCCCAGUUACGAGAGGUUUUUUGUGAUUUCUGAGCUUGGUGCUGUCAGCCUCAUGUGAACAAACUAAAGUGAAAACCAAGCUGAUUUUUGGAAAACAAAAUGCCGCGGAAAAGGAAAACUGGUGGGAGUCCUUCUCUAAAGAGUGGCAAUUAUGACAGAACUACUGUUGCUGUAUCCCAAGGGGACCCAACCUGCUCACUGUCACAAGCAAUGCAUAGUGUCAGUAAGGAGAAGCUCUUGAACAGCAUGUCAGAGAUGUUUGCUGACCUAGAUCCCACUGUGGUUUAUAUGGUUCUGUCUGAAUGUGAUUUUAAAGUAGAAAACGCUAUGGAUUAUCUGCUAGAGCUGUCCACUCAUGCUGAAGGAGUAGGAUCUUCAGAAACCUUGGGUUUUGAUUCAGUAGCACCAUCGCUAGCUCUUGUUAAUCAACAAAGAUCUGUUGCAAAUGAAAGAAGGUGGGAAAGUACUGCAGGGCAAAGUAAUUCUGAAGAAACAAUGGAAGAGGUCCUAUCAAAUGAUGUGCCGCUGACUGGAGAACUGGACUCCUUAAUAGAAAAUGCCUCUCAGAGAUAUAGCUUGAGUGAUGGAUUGCCCAAUUCUGCAAAUGACCAAAUAGUACAUAAGCACUCUGUGGAACACGAUGGCUUUAACGAAUUUCCGGAGUGGGAAAAAUCUGUUUCAGGUUGCAGCCUUGUACUUUUUCCACAGCAGACAGGGACAAAUAAUGAGGUUUUAGAAAACUUCUGCUGUUCUCAGCCACCAGUGAGUCAGCUAAGUGUCCAUACAAGCUCACCAGCUGCAUCUGACACUUCUGCACAAAUACAGGAAGAUUCCAAUUUGUCAGAAGUACAUCCUCAGCAUGAUGUGGCUUCUGAAGUCUUUAAACAACCCAAUGGAGAAAUACCUUGUGGAAAUUCUGAUCAGACACAAGAUACUGUUUUGGAUCAGAAAAGUGUGACUGCUGCUUCUGGUGAGUCCUCCCAAAGACCUCUGGAACUUGAAGUAGCUGUCACUGGAAAUCCUAAUUCAAGAUGCCUGGAACAGCAUGAAGAGGUAGUGACUGCCUUUAACAGCCACCAGAGUACCUCUCUUCCAGAGGCAUAUGUCUCUCUUGAAACAUCCAGUUUCAAAACACCAGAACCUGUAGAUUUGCAGCAAACUCAGCAGGGUUAUAACUUAAGUUUUUCCCCACCAUCAUGUCAACCUCAACAACACUGGAAUCUCAUGGCUCCCGUGUUUUAUCCAUCCAGUGGAAGUCACAGCUUUGUAACUCCUGUGGCUGCCAGUCCAGGGCAGUGGAGACCUGUUUCAGAUUAUAGGACUUCAGAAAAAGAACAUUGUUUUUCCUCUCCAGUGGUUUCAAAUGCCUGGGAUAGCAACCUUUCUCUGAAGGUAUGGGCAAAUCAAGAUAGAAACUCCAAAUUGAACCUCUCGCAAGCACAGCAGUCACCCGUUUGUCAUAUGACGAGAAAAAGGAUGCACCUUAUAGGUCAAGUACUUGUUCUUCUCAGAGGUGUUCCAGGAUCAGGAAAAUCAUAUUUGGCAAGGACUUUACUUGAGGAUAACCCAGGUGGAGUCAUUCUUAGUACUGAUGAUUACUUUUAUAAAUAUGGACAAUACCAAUUUGAUCCCAGUUGCUUAGGGGAAGCACAUGACUGGAACAGGAAACGAGCCAAAGAAGCAUUUGAAAUGAGAAUCUCUCCCAUAAUAAUAGACAACACAAACAUACAAGCAUGGGAGAUGAAGCCUUAUGUUACUUUGGCUCAGCAGUUCAAAUACAAAGUUGUGUUCCGAGAACCAGGCACAUGGUGGAAGUUUAAACCCAAAGAACUUGAAAGGCGAAACAUUCACGGUGUGUCUAAAGAAAAGAUCAAAAGAAUGUUGGAGCGGUAUGAACACUGCCUUACUGUUAGUUCAGUAUUGGAUUCUUCAGUCCCAGACAAAGCAGAAGCUGCUGGUUGGAGUGAAGAUCCUUGUCAGGAGGAAAGCUCUAGAGCAUUACAUUCUGAUGUAAAGGAAGAACCUUUUGCUUCAGAUUUGGGGCCUCUUGAAUUAGCUGAAGAUGAUAAAACUUUUCCCAGUACUUCUUUAACAUUAGAAAGUAACCAUGAUCCUGAACAUCUUCAUAAAGAGGGAAAAGAAAUUGAAAAUAACUCAGUGGAACACAACUCUGAGAACAGCACUGUUCAAGAUGACUUGGAUGUUUAUUUGUCAGAUUGUGUAGAAAAAGAACUGCCCUUGGAGAAGAAAGAAGAAAAGGGAGAAAAACUAGGAAAAAAUACUGAAACAGAAAAGGAUGAGAUCAAUGUGACCAUGACUGAAGAGACUGUGUCCUUGCAUACAGGAGGAGCUGAGGAGCACAGUGAUAACAACAUUCUCAAAGUUCAAACUGAAGUUGAACAAUCUGGCCAAAUAUGUACAGAACCAAAAUCAACAGAAAGUAGUAACACAGCAGAACCAAGCAGUUCAGCUUUUGGCACGUCAGGAAAACCAGAACUACUGAACUUUCUGGGUGACUGGCCUGUAGAACAAACAAUGGGACAGAGAGUCAAAAGAGCUAGAAGACUAGAAAAAUCUUCUCUGAAGAGUGAUAAGGAAGGUAAAACUCCCAGUCAGCAGAAUCCUGAGUUAUGUAAAGAGCAAGCAGGCCUGCCUGGGACCUGUACUGUUGAAAAAGGACAUGAGGAAGAAAAUCUAGCCUCUGGCUGUUUCUCUGUUAGUUCAGAUAAAGUUAUACCACAGUUGCAAAUGAUAGGACAUUGGCCUGUUGCGGGCUCAUUAGAACAGAGACAGCAAAGGUCAAGGAGAAUGAGAAAGACAGAUCUAAAUCAGUCCAAUGAAGAUAGAAAUGCUGAAGGUGACAUUAACAGAAAUGCUCUUGAGACUGUGGAUGUGCUUCAUGGGACACCUGUGAACAUUGCAGAGCAACCGGAUGCAGAGACUUUGCAUAUGCACCAACCUGAAACAGAGGCUAGUGAAACAGUAGGUGAGAAAAAAACCCAGCAAAAUAAGAGAAUGAGGAAACAUCACAAAUUAGCCCUCACUUUUACAAAUAACAAUUUGCCCCAUCCCAAAGAAGAGGAAUACUUGUCAGUGCUUAAUGGCGCAGAAGAGAAACAGGAUGCGUGCUCAUGUAGGCAAAAAAGUAGCCAUUCACAGACUGAAUCACAGGACUUUGCUCUCCUGUGGAGGUUAGAAAAGAAAAUGCUUUUUCCUGAGACUACCAAAGUAUUGCAUGGCAGACUAGAUGGCUUCAAACCCAAAGAUGUAAAUACUGUUUCAGAUUCUCAGGAAAAAAUUCCCUAUCGAGUUAUGUAUGAUAAAAGUACAUUUGUGGAAGAAAGUGAGCUUAUCAAUAUUGAUGAGUCUGAAAAGCUAAAUAUGCUAUGUAAGCUCUUUGAUUCUGUUUCAUUUGAAGCUGUGAAAGAUCUGUAUGAAAGAUGUAACAAAGACAUAGACUGGGCCACAGGUCUGCUCUUAGACUCUGAUGAAAAGUUACGCAAAGAUGUUGGCAUCGAAUGCUUUCAAGUAAGAGAAGCUGAGCCAGUUGUUGCAGACCUUGAUUUCAAGGCAAGUAGAAACUAUGGUGAGAAUCUCAAGGACUGCGAACAAAUGUCGCAAAUAAUUGGGGCUGUUGAUAUCUCUGAGCCUUCAGAAGAUAAGAGCUCAUCACUCAGCAUUGCAGAAAGUCGAGCUGCCAAGGCAACUGUGACAGAUGUUGAUGUGUCUGACGCAUUGACUGCUACCUCACUGAAGGAUUCGUCAGAACUGAAGAAUUGUGGAGAUGCAGCCCCUGGAACUGACGCAGGCAGCUCAGCAGCAGGUAUCGUUGAGCCAUUCGUUUCAGGAAAGCAGAAGGUAGAAGCUGAGAGUCCUUUUGAAGAACAUAUAAAUAAGCCAUUAGUCUCACAACUUGAUGGAGGUUUCUGUGUACCCAUGACUCUGCCUCAUGGUCCUAACACAACUUCUACCAAUUUGAAAUUUGAAUUAAAUAACGAGAGUGACAGUAACCCUUCAGAAAGCAAUGCAGAGAAUUCCAAAGUGAUGGCUUCGUUACUGGAAGUGGAUCAUGCACCUCUGGUCGAUCUUAGGAAUGAUGAAGAACUGGAAACCCAGGGGAGUUCCGAAGAGAUAUGUGGUAAAGAAGAAAUUGAAACUCAAAGCAGGGAUGAGGCCAAAACCAGCAUACAAAGUCCUAUACCAGCAUCACGUGCAGCCUUCAAUAUAGAUUGCUUAGAACUAACGUUACCUCCUGAACUGGCACUCCAAUUGAAAGAAAUAUUUGGGCCUGUUGGCAUUGAUGCAGGAUCACUAACUGUUGAGGAUUGUGUGGUUCAUAUUGAUCUGAAUUUGGCCAAAGUGAUUCAUGAAAAAUGGAAAGAAUCUGUUCUGAAGCGUCGGAGGAGAGAUGAAUCAUGUAAGUUGUCUGCAGAAGGUCCUACUGUGAUUCAGCAGAUAGAUACAGAUGACUCAGAAAUGCUGUUAUCUCAGACUGCAGACAGUAGAAUACAGAAGAAAAAAAUGAGCUGGGUAUCUGGCUCAUCUAACAACAUACAGACUAAAAACCCAGCAACAUCAGAAGUUUUUCCUUUUAUGGAUCACUGGAAUGCUCAGAUUCAGAAAGUUUCUCUCAGACAAAUAAUUUCUGAAGAAAUAGCUAUGCAGGAGAAACAAGACCUGAAUCGUGUUCCUUGUAUGGCUAGAAAAGACUGUGCAGCUAAACUAAAGGAGAAGCAACUUUUUGAGAUGUUUCCAAGUAUCAGUCAAGAUUUCUUAAUGGAUAUCUUCAAGGACAACAACUACUCUUUAGAACAAACCGAACAGUUUCUGAACUGUGUUCUGGAGGCAGAUCCUGUAAAAACAGUUAUAGCUCAAGAAAGUGUUCAGCAAAAUGAAAUGGUUUCUUCCUGCAGUGCUGCAAAGAACCGGGAGAAGAAGGCAAAAAAAAAUAAGGAAGAGGAUGAACCUUUGAGCGAAAUACUUCAAAAAAUUGAGUAUCCACAAUACGAUGAUUUAAGAGCAGAAGCUUUUUGUCACCAGCAAAAGAGACAGGAAUGUUUGAAAAAGGCUGGGGAGGCCCAUCACAUGGGUAUGAAGUCUGUGGCAGCAUUUUAUGCUCAUCAGGGUCGCCUUCAUGAGCAGAAGAUGAAAGAAGCCAACCAUGCAGCUGCUGUGCAAAUCUUUGGGAAAGUAAAUACGUCCUUGCUACCUAUGAAUGUGUUGGAUCUGCAUGGUCUCCAUGUGGAUGAAGCAGUGAAUCAGUUGUCCAGAGUGCUGCAGGAAAAAAGUGAAGAGUAUCUUUUUCAGAAGAGAGGGAAAAUGGCUAUGUUUAUGUAAAAGAGGCACAGCCAGCAUGGGAAAGCGGGGUUCUGAACCACUAGUGAGAGUUUUCAGAAGAACGGAUGGAAAGGUCAUACUGAAUGCCAAGUCUCUGUUGAGGGAAAAUCUUAACCGUUACAAUCCCUGCUGUAACAGAGUACCAGCAGACCGGUGGUAAACCGUAUCUUUGUGUUAUCACGGGAAGAGGAAGCCAUAGUCAGGGAGGAGUUGCUCGCAUCAGACCAGCAGCUAUGAGAUACCUCACAAGCCACAACUUCAGGUUCACAGAAAUAAAACCAGGCUGCCUGAAAGUCAUGCUGAAUUGAAGGGUUGUCGAGAAGAGGAAUAUAGAGAUGUCAGAUCACAGCUAAAACUUUUUGAACAACUGCAAUAGUAUUUUGUAAUCUGUUUUAAAGGAUGAUAUUUUAUUAGAAAUGGUCUCAAUUUACAGCAAGUGAUUUUGUCAGUAUGUUUCCAAGAAAAUUUUUGUGUGGAAUGGAUCCUUUUUUGAACCUGCAAAAAGAAGACACUCACAGGAUUUGAAGUCUCACACGCGCAGAUUGAGAACUCUGCUGAGCAAUACAUAAUGUUUUAAAGGGAAGUUAAGGUACAAUUUUAAAAUAUAACUGUCUUCUCAGCAUACCCAGGAUAUGUCAUCUGACCCUCACACAUUUAAAUUGCUGUGGAUUCUAUGCUUUUAAAACAUAGUACUUUGUAUGACAUUAUUUUGUGAUUCAGAACUUUGUGCUAAACCCUUGAGAAGAGCACAGGGGAGGUGGGAACUGGGCAACUACUGAUAUUUCAAAUCCAGUUGCAGCUGAGUGCUGAAUAUUUCCAGGUUUAUUCAAAAGCCUCAUGGCUUUUUAGUGAUUAUUUUGUGAUACGUUGACCAGUUCUAUUGUCCUUUUUCCAUUUUAAACUUCUCCGGAUACUGAUGGGUGUUGCAUAUAAAGGACUGUGCAUUAAGACCAGCUGUGAGUUUGGUAAUUUUGCAGACUUACUGUGAUCUAUUAAAGUGAAAAAUACAACACUGUAGUUCAAUCUCUACUUACACAUAGCUAAUACUGUAAUUUUACAGUAUUUAUGCAGGAAAUGCCCUUAACUUUUCUCAACAUCUACUGGAUUAAAAGCAUUUCUUCCUUUAUGGUAUUUUAAAUGGAGCAAAUUGAGUACUGUUUCACUUUACAGGUGUCUAAUAGUGAUGUGUCUUCAUUCUGUGUGUAUUAAAUUUGGUGAUUUCCUUGUAGAAAAGAUUGUCAGUGAGAAAUUUUAAAUGUAUUUUUAACAUCAAAGUGAAUGCUAAAACUACAGUAGUAAUUGCCUAACUGGAAAGUCUGGGAAUACAAAAGUUAUUCCGUUGAUGGUGGUGUUGCAUCAGCAUCUAGAAAUACCUGUGUAAAAAACCAAAACAACAACAAAAACCCCCAAACACUCCCCCCCCAAUUAAAUAUAAACAUCAGUACUGUGGCAAGUGUUUCCAGUAAGCAAUCAAAAACUUUUUAAAUAGAAAUAUCUUCUAGCAUGCGUUACUACUUUUAUUUAUGUGUUUGCCUCUUGAAAGGCAUACAAAUUUUUGUUGUAAGGCUUCUUCAGAACGGGUAUCGAGUUGUGUAUUAGGAGCGAUAUUAAUAGGUUAAGGAUUAAGGGGAGGGCUUAUUCAUUUUAAACCACUUUUGCAGUAGUUCUUAUCCAGGAACUACAUGCGCACAGAAUUUGUGUAUGAAUCCAUAUAUGUGUGCAAGCUCUGCCAUUUGUGUGCAUGAGUAGUAAUAAACAAGGAACUUCUGUGAGAAAAGCUGUGCACAGAAAUAGGUUUCACUUGAAAAUGUGUCUGUAUAAGUUGCUGACAAACUGAAAGAUAUGUUUCCUGAAUAUCUGUAUUUACUGUAAUAUAUACACAGUGAAUGCAAUGUAGACUUAAAAAUGAGUUUGUCAUGCUUCAACAGAUACAAUUAUCUUUUCAUGGUGAUUUCAAGUGGAAGAAUAGCUUGAAUAAAAUUUAAUCAGAGGGACUUUUACUGGAAUAAUAGUCAUAAUAUUUUUUGCAGGUACUUAGUUCAUCUGAAUCAUGUCCUUUUUCUUUCUCUCUGGGCUGCUCAUGUAGCCAGUAGGUGAAACACAAAAAAGCCUGUGCUCCACAAAUAGCAUUAGCAGAGCUGUUUCUCCCACUGCAUGAACGCCUGUGCAGUGAAGUCUGUGCUCCACCCUCUGUGACAGUGCCUAAAUGGACUGAGAUGUCACUUAGGCACUUGGACUUGAGACAACAGUUCAGACUAUAAGCAGUUCAGGGGUGCAGAUGCCGGAAUUGCCUUAGUGAAUUUAGGAUCUUUCUUUUGGACCAAGGAACUUCAUUCUGCUCCUGAACAUGUUUUCCUUGGUGCUGCUGUUUAUACUGAACGGAGAUGCAGCUUUCUGGGGCAAGUCUUUAAAGUGGAGUCCCUGUUGUUUGGUUCAGGUGGCUGAGCUGCCCAGCAAAGGUCUCAGUGUAUGCUCAGAAGUGUUGUGUGUUGAGCCGUUGGGUGCCCAAGCCCUACAGUGAUGUGCUUGUAAACAGGGAAGUGGCAAAACUUCUGUUUGAUUUGAGAGGGGGUCUGAUUCACUCAGCAUAUUCACACCUUUCCUGACACGGGCAAAGACAGCUUAGGUUGCAGUUCAACAGGCAAGCAGAAAGAAUUGUUGUCUUGCCCAUCUGUUCAUCGUCAUCUAGUUGUUGACAAGUACCUUGGAGAUGAGAAACACAGCUUUUUACCUGCUUCUGGUUUAUCAAGGGGAUGAUGAUUGUGCUUCACUCUCGCUUCCCCAGAGAACACAUAACCAGUGUGCUCAGGGGUAUUCUUGAAGUCACCGCUUCCUGAGCCUCUUCCAAAGUCAGCUACUGUAAGAUAAAAAUGCACAAUCAAGGGGACAAGAGAUUAAAGACUAAAAAUUGUAUAAACUUGUAGUCUGGAAGAGGACUAGAACUCUGCAGAAAAGGAGGUUCAAUGUACUUCCACGUUAUUUUUUAAUCUCUUACUCCUACUUGGAUAAGUGCAUAAAAAUGUUCAGGGCAAAACCUCAGCUACACCCAUUACCAGGAGAGUUUUUCUCCAGUCUGUCGAAGUCAGCAGAGGAGUACAUAGCUUAAGAGCAAUUUGGAGUGCUUCUCUCUCUCCCUCUCUCCAUUGUCCUUUUGGGUACAGGUUGAGGUUCACUAAGGUACUCUGAAUACCCUAUGUGCUUAUAGGUUGAUCAUUCACCUGGUAAAAGUUGUUUGAUUACAGGCUGAACUUCAAUGGAAGAUGAUGGUUUAAAUUCAUAACAUGGGCAGAACUGAUCUUGCCUGUAUUGAAGUUAGCGACAGAGCCUUUAUCAGCUUCAGCAACUCAGGGUGAGGCAUUGCAGUUCCAACUUGGAGAAAAUAUAACGAGCUCAGCCUUUUUCUUCCAUACAAUCUUGAGCAUGUGCUUAGCAGCUGUGCUGAGCUGGAUACACAAUGGAGCAGAAGAUGAGUGCACAGAGAGAAAGAAAAUAGAUUUUUAUUAGUAAGGAUUUCCAUGCUUUCAGCUACUUGCCAAACUGUCCAGAAAAAAAACCACUGGACUUCUUGUAUUUCUUUGACUGUUUUAUAAUGUAUAGUGGAUGAAUUACAUCAAAUAUAAUUGUUUCAAAAUGGUAUUUCAAAGUAGGUUACAUUUUAGAACUUUCAGCCUUUCUGAUGUCUUCUGCAAUUACAUCAGUGAGAAUCCUGAGGUAGUGUGUAAAUUCUGUAUCAUCUUAUACUUUUAAUUAAAAUAGCACUUAACAGUAUUGCCACCAGCACUCUGAAAUAAUGUGCGACUGUUAAAAUACCUAUUUUGUGUACCACUUUUUAUCCUAUUCUUCAACAGUAUGUGGUUACGAUGACUAGUAGCUUUUAAUACGUGACUUUUGGGUUCUUUUUUGCAAAACAUUUUAACCUUUAUCCCAAUUUUUCAUUUAGGAGAUUUAUCUUUUUUGUAUAGAUAUAUAUACAAAAUUUAAUAUUGUGCUAGCAUUGAUGAAUAAUCUUACAGUAAAUUAAAAAACAAAGACCCAGAGGUGCAAUGAAGAAGGUUGUUCUCCUGAGUAAUGUGUUUAAAAACAUAUUUGUUGAUUGUGAAUAUAGUAGGGCAAAAGUGAUUUUUUAAAAAAAUGUUUCAAGAUAUCUUGACAACACUUUAAUCACUUUUGCUUUUAAAAGUAUGUGGUACAAUUGUAUUUAAACUUAAUGUUUUUGUAGGCCUGUUGAAGGACACAUCGAGUGAAGUUUAACUGGCAUUUUUUUUGUGGCUGUUGGAAACCAUUGUGACUUGGGAAUUCCUAUUUAAACAAUGUCCAGAUGCUCUAGUCAAAACCUAGAACAUCACUAGCACUAGAACAUCUGGAACAUUACUGUUGUAAGUAUGUGGAAUAUCAGGGAAGAUCUCGUAGGCUUAUCAGAACAUGCACUCUUAAGGUUUUACUUGAGGAGGUGAAAAGUAACCACAUUGUUACUUAAUCUUGCCACAAAAUGUGGUGGGUAGACAAGAAAAUAAUUUAGUUGCUGAUAAUGGCAAAGAGGGAUCAUUAUAAAUGUAAUAUGAGAAAUUAUACAUAGACUGUAUGUUACUGACGCUUAUGUCUUCAAAUGUAAUUCACAUUUCCAGAACAAUAUUGUGCUCUUUGUGGAGCCAAGGAGAGGAUAGAGUAUCAGCACUGUAACAAAGAAGAGUUCGUCAACUUACCACAAUUCCCAAGUACCAUGUUCUCUUAAAAAAGCCCACACAAACCCCAAUGUUCUUGCUAUUUCAGCUAAAUAAACUCUGCAGAGGAUUAAAUGACUAUAUGCAAAUAUGCAUGUGAAAAGACCUAGUAUUGCAGCUACCAGCUGUAAAAGCUGUUAGGACCAGUACCUUGGAAGAUGCAAAUGUCUAUUUUUAAAUUAAAAUUAAAAAAUGCUUUUUUUAUCUGUAUAAAGUUGUAAUUUUGCUGUUAACGGUAACUUUCAUUUUUUUACUGAAAUACAGUUUUGUAAUUUGCAUUUAGAAUUUCUAAUGUGAAAAGGAUUUACAAAAUCUAGUUUAAUAAAGGAUUUUUGCCACAA